rnacentral:rRNA from 1 species
UACGUAGGUGGCAAGCGUUGUCCGGAAUUAUUGGGCGUAAAGGGCGCGCAGGCGGCGUCGUAAGUCGGUCUUAAAAGUGCGGGGCUCAACCCCGUGAGGGAGUGGAAACUACUUUUCUUGAGUGCAGGAGAGGAAAGCGGAAUUCCUAGUGUAGCGGUGAAAUGCGUAGAUAUUAGGAGGAACACCAGUGGCGAAGGCGGCUUUCUGGACUGUAACUGACACUGAGGCUCGAAAGCCAGGGGAGCGAACGGG